rnacentral:rRNA from 1 species
GAAACUACUGCUAAGACUGGAUAGGAGACAAGAAGGCAUCUUCUUGUUUUUAAAAGACCUAGCAAUAGGUAUGCUUAGGGAGGAGCUUGCGUCACAUUAGUUAGUUGGUGGGGUAAAGGCCUACCAAGACUAUGAUGUGUAGCCGGGCUGAGAGGUUGAACGGCCACAUUGGGACUGAGACACGGCCCAAACUCCUACGGGAGGCAGCAGUAGGGAAUUUUCGGCAAUGGAGGAAACUCUGACCGAGCAACGCCGCGUGAACGANGAAGUAUUUCGGUACGUAAAGUUCUUUUAUUAGGGAAGAANAAAUGAUGGAAAAAUCAUUCUGACGGUACCUAAUGAAUAAGCCCCGGCUAACUAUGUGCCAGCAGCCGCGGUAAUACAUAGGGGGCAAGCGUUAUCCGGAAUUAUUGGGCGUAAAGGGUGCGUAGGCGGUUAAAUAAGUUUAUGGUCUAAGUGCAAUGCUCAACAUUGUGAUGCUAUAAAAACUGUUUAGCUAGAGUAAGAUAGAGGCAAGUGGAAUUCCAUGUGUAGUGGUAAAAUGCGUAAAUAUAUGGAGGAACACCAGUAGCGAAGGCGGCUUGCUGGGUCUUUACUGACGCUGAGGCACGAAAGCGUGGGGAGCAAACAGGAUUAGAUACCCUGGUAGUCCACGCCGUAAACGAUGAGUACUAAACGUUGGGUAAAACCAGUGUUGAAGUUAACACAUUAAGUACUCCGCCUGAGUAGUACGUACGCAAGUAUGAAACUUAAAGGAAUUGACGGGACUCCGCACAAGCGGUGGAUCAUGUUGUUUAAUUCGAAGGUACCCGAAAAACCUCACCAGGUCUUGACAUGCUUCUGCAAAGCUGUAGAAACACAGUGGAGGUUAUCAGUUGCACAGGUGGUGCAUGGUUGUCGUCAGCUCGUGUCGUGAGAUGUUGGGUUAAGUCCCGCAACGAGCGCAACCCUUAUUGUUAGUUACCAGCACGUAAUGGUGGGGACUUUAGCAAGACUGCCAGUGAUAAAUUGGAGGAAGGUGGGGACGACGUCAAAUCAUCAUGCCCCUUAUGACCUGGGCUACAAACGUGAUACAAUGGCUGUUACAAAGGGUAGCUGAAGCGCAAGUUUUUGGCGAAUCUCAAAAAAACAGUCUCAGUUCGGAUUGAAGUCUGCAACUCGACUUCAUGAAGUUGGAAUCGCUAGUAAUCGCGAAUCAGCAUGUCGCGGUGAAUACGUUCUCGGGGUUUGUACACACCGCCCGUCA